CGUAACAAGGUUUCCGUAGGUGAACCUGCGGAAGGAUCAUUACCUAGAGUUUGUAGACUUCGGUCUGCUACCUCUUACCCAUGUCUUUUGAGUACCUUCGUUUCCUCGGCGGGUCCGCCCGCCGAUUGGACAACAUUCAAACCCUUUGCAGUUGCAAUCAGCGUCUGAAAAAACAUAAUAGUUACAACUUUCAACAACGGAUCUCUUGGUUCUGGCAUCGAUGAAGAACGCAGCGAAAUGCGAUAAGUAGUGUGAAUUGCAGAAUUCAGUGAAUCAUCGAAUCUUUGAACGCACAUUGCGCCCCUUGGUAUUCCAUGGGGCAUGCCUGUUCGAGCGUCAUUUGUACCUUCAAGCUCUGCUUGGUGUUGGGUGUUUGUCUCGCCUCUGCGUAUAGACUCGCCUUAAAACAAUUGGCAGCCGGCGUAUUGAUUUCGGAGCGCAGUACAUCUCGCGCUUUGCACUCAUAACGACGACGUCCAAAAGUACAUUUUUACACUCUUGACCUCGGAUCAGGUAGGGAUACCCGCUGAACUUAAGCAUAUCA
rnacentral:rRNA from 1 species